GUUAAACACCAUAGUGCCCACAAAGCUCAUUGCUAAGCUAAGGAUCCUGGGACUAAACAUCUCUCUCUGCAACUGGAUCCUGGACUUCCUGAAGGGCCGCCCCCAGGUGGUAAGGGUAGGCAAAAAUCUUCCACGGUGAUCCUCAACACGGGUUCCCCUCGGGGGUGCGUGCUUAGUCCCUGCCUGUGCUCCCUGUUCACCCAUGACUGCGUAGCCAAGCACGACUCCAAUGCCAUCAUUAAGUUUGCUGAUGACACAAACAGUGGUAGGCCUGAUCAUCGACAAAGAUGAGACAGCCUAUAGGGAGGAGCUCAGAUACCUGGCAGUGUGGUGCCAGGACAACAACAUUUCCCUCAACCUGAGCAAGACAAAGGAGCUGAUCGUGGACUACAGGAAAUGGAGGGCCAAACACACCACCAUUCACAUUAACAGGGCUGUAGUGGAGCGGGUUGAGAGCUUUAAGUUCCUUGGUGUCCACAUCCCAAUAAACUAUCAUGGUCCAAAGUUGCAUCACUGCCUGGUAUGGCAACUGCUCGGCAUCUGACCGUAAGGUGCUACAGAUGGUAAUGCGAAUGGCCCAGUACAUCAUUGGGGCUAAUCUUCCUGCCAUCCAGGACCUCUAUACUAGGCGAUAUUAGAGGAAGGACCAAGAAAUUGUUGAAGACUCCAGCCACCCAAGUCAUAGAUGGUUCUCUCUGGUACCGCAAGCAAAAGGGAUUAUACCCUCUGCACUUCGCUGCAGCUCUCACCAGGGCAGAGGGCCCAAAGAUCACAGAGCUGCUGCUGCACACCGUGGGAGGGAGUUUGAAAUAAAGCCCUACUCCAAAACACAGUCUCGACUGGAUGCACCACCAGUCCAUUAUCGCCUGCGCAGCAGUGUGGCCAAUGAGAGCAAGAGGAG